rnacentral:rRNA from 1 species
AUUGAACGCUGGCGGCAUGCUUUACACAUGCAAGUCGAACGGCAGCACGGGGGCAACCCUGGUGGCGAGUGGCGAACGGGUGAGUAAUGCAUCGGAACGUGUCCUCUUGUGGGGGAUAACCAGUCGAAAGAUUGGCUAAUACCGCAUGAGAUCGAAAGAUGAAAGCGGGGGACCGCAAGGCCUCGCGCGAGAGGAGCGGCCGAUGCCGGAUUAGCUAGUUGGUGGGGUAAAAGCCUACCAAGGCGACAAUCCGUAGCUGGUCUGAGAGGACGACCAGCCACACUGGGACGGAGACACGGCCCAGACUCCUACGGGAGGCAGCAGUGGGGAAUUUUGGACAAUGGGCGCAAGCCUGAUCCAGCCAUGCCGCGUGUGUGAAGAAGGCCUUCGGGUUGUAAAGCACUUUAAGCGAGGAGGAGGCUCUUUUGGUUAAUACCCAAGAUGAGUGGACGUUACUCGCAGAAUAAGCACCGGCUAACUCUGUGCCAGCCGCCGCCAUAA